rnacentral:pre_miRNA from 1 species
GGGAGGUGUGAUAUUGUGGUUCCUGGGCGGUAGAUAUCGUGGUUCCUGGGAGGUGUGAUCCCCUGCUCCCU